rnacentral:rRNA from 1 species
CGGAGGGUGCAAGCGUUAUCCGGAUUCACUGGGUUUAAAGGGAGCGUAGGUGGGUUGGUAAGUCAGUGGUGAAAUCCCCGAGCUUAACUUGGGAACUGCCAUUGAUACUAUCAGUCUUGAAUACCGUGGAGGUCAGCGGAAUAUGUCAUGUAGCGGUGAAAUGCUUAGAUAUGACAUAGAACACCAAUUGCGAAGGCAGCUGGCUACACGAAUAUUGACACUGAGGCUCGAAAGCGUGGGGAUCAAACUGGAUUAGAUACCCUGGUAGUCCACGCCCUAAACUAUGGAUACUCGACAUACGCGAUACACUGUGUGUGUCUGAGCGAAAGCAUUAAGUAUCCCACCUGGGAAGUACGAUCGCAAGAUUG